rnacentral:ribozyme from 1 species
UGCCGAGCAACUUCUAUCGCUACCUCCGCGUGGCGUCGGCCGGGCUGCGAGCAACCUUAGAAAAGAUCGGGUAACCAACUUUGGGACCUUUGGUCGUAAGCUGACAGUGAAGG